rnacentral:rRNA from 1 species
UACAGAGGUCUCAAGCGUUGUUCGGAUUCAUUGGGCGUAAAGGGGGCGUAGGCGGCGCGGUAAGUCGGGUGUGAAAUUUCGAGGCUUAACUUCGAAACUGCAUUCGAUACUGCCGUGCUAGAGGACUGGAGAGGAGACUGGAAUUUACGGUGUAGCGGUGAAAUGCGUAGAUAUCGUAAGGAAGACCAGUGGCGAAGGCGGGUCUCUGGACAGUUCCUGACGCUGAGGCACGAAGGCCAGGGGAGCAAACGGG